rnacentral:rRNA from 1 species
UACAGAGGGGGCAAGCGUUGUUCGGAAUUACUGGGCGUAAAGGGCGCGUAGGCGGCCUGCUAAGUCGAACGUGAAAUCCCUGGGCUCAACUCAGAGACUGCUUCCGAAACUGCUGUGCUUGAGUGUGGGAGAGGCGCGUGGAAUUGCAGGUGUAGCGGUGAAAUGCGUAGAUAUCUGCAGGAACACCCGUGGCGAAAGCGGCGCGCUGGACCACUACUGACGCUGAGGAACGAAAGCUAGGGGAGCAAACAGG